CGGGGUCUAGUGUAAUUAGCACGCAGGUUUUGGGAACUUGAGGUCAGGAAAAUAGCUCCUGGUCCCUGA